GACGAACGCUGGCGGCGUGCCUAAUACAUGCAAGUCGAACGAGAGCGACCGGUGCUUGCACUGGUCAAUCUAGUGGCGAACGGGUGAGUAACACGUGGGUAACCUGCUCAUCAGAGGGGGAUAACAUCCGGAAACGGAUGCUAAAACCGCAUAGGUCUUCGAGCCGCAUGGCUUGAAGAGGAAAAGAGGCGCAAGCUUCUGCUGAUGGAUGGACCCGCGGUGCAUUAGCUAGUUGGUGAGGUAACGGCUCACCAAGGCCGUGAUGCAUAGCCGACCUGAGAGGGUGAUCGGCCACAUUGGGACUGAGACACGGCCCAAACUCCUACGGGAGGCAGCAGUAGGGAAUCUUCCGCAAUGGACGCAAGUCUGACGGAGCAACGCCGCGUGAGUGAAGAAGGUUUUCGGAUCGUAAAACUCUGUUGUUAGAGAAGAACAAGUGCUAGAGUAACUGUUAGCGCCUUGACGGUAUCUAACCAGAGAGCCACGGCUAACUACGUG
rnacentral:rRNA from 1 species